rnacentral:lncRNA from 1 species
CUGACUUCUGACAGCACUCCUGUCCUCCACAGCUGCUCCCUGUUCUCCACAAAUGCUCCCAUCCUCCCCAGACGCUCCACCUCGAUCCUCCGACAGCGCACUACCUCUGACCUCUGCCGGCACACUACCUCUAUCUUCUGACAACACUCCCGUCAUCUGCAGGCACUCCUUGAUCUCUGUAGGUGUUCCCGUCCUCUGCCAAUGCUCCACCUCAAUCCUCUGAUGAUGCACUACAUCUAACCUCUGCUGGCGCACUAACUAUGCAUUCCGACAGCCCUCCCAUCAUCUUCAGGUGUUCUAUGUCCUCUGCAGGUGCUCCUAUCCUCCGCAGACGCUCCACAUCUGUCCUCGGAUGAUGCACUAUAUCUAACCUCUGCCAGCGCACUAACUCUGUCUUCUGAUGGUGCUCCUGUCCUUGGCAAUUGCUUCCUGUCCUCCGCAGGUGCUCCUAUCCUCCGCAGAUGCUCCACCUCUAUCCUCUGAAGGCACACUACAUCUAACCUCUGCCGGCGCACUAACUAUGCCUUCUGACAGCGCUCCCGUCCUCCGCACGUGCUCCCUGUUCUCCUCCGGUGCUCCGAUCCUCCGCAGACACUCCACCUCAAUCCUCUGAUGGCACAUUACCUCUAACCUCUGCCGGCGCACUACCUCUAUCUUCUAACCACGCUCCCAUCAUC